CCUCCUAGAGGCCUGAAUUACAGGCGUGCACCACCACAGCUGGCUACAAAAUGGAACUCUGGAUUCCAGGCUUUCUGCGGAGGCUGACUUCAUCCAGACAGGCAAGGCACCCUUGCACGCACAUUCACCUGCCCGCCUGGGCCGGGUGAUCCGACGUCAUGCCUUUGUGCGCAACACAGCGAUUCUCCCCAACAGCAUUGUCAGUCUUCCCAGCUGUGUGCGCCCAAGACUGGCUUUUGGCUUUUAUUGUUACUAAGUAAGAGAACAUGUAAGCUUUCUUAGUUAAUUACUAAAUCUGGGUUUGUGCUAUUUCGUAAAAUAAUUUAACGUGUUAAUUCUGUCCCCCUUUCCCUGUUGUGGCUGGUGUUGUCUUUUUAUUUUAUUUUUGUUUGUUUAUUGUGGUUCUCUGAGACAGGUUGUCACUAUUAGGUCCAGGAUGGUUUGAACUUUAGAUCCUCCUGGCUCAUCCUUCUGGGUGCUGGGAUUACAGGGGUGCACCACCAUGCCUAAGUCCCUUGUUUUAAAUGUGAAAAUCCUAUUUGAUGAUGUUUCAUUAGCGAGAAUCUGUACUAGAAAUGAGCUACUGGAAAGUUCAAAGAUUACAUUUAUGUUAUCCUGGGGUUUUUUUAGAUUUUUAGAGAAAAAGUUAAAACGUAAGGAGUUUUGUUUUUUUUUUACUUAUACACAUUAACCAUAUAUAUUUUAUACCCAGCCCAAGAUAAUUCCUCUUCUCUUAGUGCAGCCCCAAAGGACAACCCAGGAUAUAUGGCUCACUGUUUCAGCCCCAGGCACCGCCAGCUGUGAGAACAUGGGAGCAAGAGAAGUUAAGUGAGAGCCUGGAUAAGAGAGCUGCAGUUCCAGAUGAUCAAUCGUCUUAGAAGAACUUGCAGCCCCAGUGACUCAGCCUUCUGCAGCCACACAUCCUGGGAAAGUGCAAAGGGGAAUCCCUCCAUCACACACGAAUCGGACACGUUUGGAGACCAAAACUAGAAAGGUGACUGGGCUAAGAGGACAGCCAGUAUUUUGGCCCUGGUCUUUCACGGUCAACAAAGAUCCGGGACACAAAGGAACCUUUCCUACAGGAUCCUACAUCUUUGAACUGAAAACACUGGAAUAUAUAUUGUGGACACACUGAAAGGAAGCCUGUCUCCCUUUCAGAAGAAAGCCUCAGGAGAAAAGAAAAAUCUGAAGCAAAACAGUGAUGCAUUCUUGUGUGUGGUCCAGACUGGGUGUGGAGAAGCUGGCAACCUGGAAUUGACAACAGGUGCAGAAGGAAAAGAACCCCAACCACAGGCUGGCCUCUCUAAUCAAAGAAUCUGGAAAGAAGCAACCUAUUCCAGCAGAAAAUGUUUAGAAAAUAACCACUCUACUGCUACCAAAUACCACAGGAAAAGGUUAUGUAUCUGCCACAUUGAAUGUCAGAGUUGAGCCAGUAACAAGGGGAGUUUAGUUUCUGCCCUGCCCAGGCCUCGAGGAAGCACCUCUUCCCUGGAGAGAUGCCUUUGCAGUCUUUUGUCCACUUUCUAGCUGAGUUCUUUUUGUACUGUUGACUUUUGAGAAUUCUUCAUUUAUCAUGCAUAUUAAUUCUUUGUCGGGUAUGGGGUUUGCAAAUAUUUUCUCCCAGGCCUGUAAUUAUCUUUUAAUCCUAACAUAGUCAUUUGCAAAGUCAAAGUUUUUAAUUUGGAUGAUGUCCAAGUUAUUAAUUUGGUUUUCUUUUUUUCAGAGAUUAUACUCUCGGCAUCAAAUCUUAGAAUUCUUUGCCUAGC